rnacentral:tRNA from 1 species
UUGCAUUAGAAUUAGAAUCUAAAAAUACUAAAAUCACUCCUUCAACUAAUCUAAUAACAAUU